AUUGAACGCUGGCGGCAGGCCUAACACAUGCAAGUCGAGCGGAUGACGGGAGCUUGCUCCUUGAUUCAGCGGCGGACGGGUGAGUAAUGCCUAGGAAUCUGCCUGGUAGUGGGGGACAACGUUUCGAAAGGAACGCUAAUACCGCAUACGUCCUACGGGAGAAAGCAGGGGACCUUCGGGCCUUGCGCUAUCAGAUGAGCCUAGGUCGGAUUAGCUAGUUGGUGGGGUAAUGGCUCACCAAGGCGACGAUCCGUAACUGGUCUGAGAGGAUGAUCAGUCACAAGGGAACUGGGACACGGUCCCGACUCCUACGGGAGGCAGCAGUGGGGAAUAUUGGACAAUGGGCGAAAGCCUGAUCCAGCCAUGCCGCGUGUGUGAAGAAGGUCUUCGGAUUGUAAAGCACUUUAAGUUGGGAGGAAGGGCAGUAAGUUAAUACCUUGCUGUUUUGACGUUACCGACAGAAUAAGCACCGGCUAACUCUGUGCCAGCAGCCGCCGUAA
rnacentral:rRNA from 1 species